UGGGGAAUAUUGGACAAUGGGCGAAAGCCUGAUCCAGCCAUGCCACGUGAGUGACGAAGGCCUUAGGGUUGUAAAGCUCUUUUGGCGGGGAAGAUAAUGACGGUACCCGCAGAAUAAGCUCCGGCUAACUUCGUGCCAGCAGCCGCGGUAAUACGAAGGGAGCUAGCGUUGUUCGGAAUCACUGGGCGUAAAGCGCACGUAGGCGGAUUGUUUAGUCAGGGGUGAAAUCCCGGGGCUCAACCUCGGAACUGCCUUUGAUACUGGCAAUCUCGAGUCCGAUAGAGGUGGGUGGAAUUCCUAGUGUAGAGGUGAAAUUCGUAGAUAUUAGGAAGAACACCGGUGGCGAAGGCGGCCCACUGGAUCGGUACUGACGCUGAGGUGCGAAAGCGUGGGGAGCAAACAGGAUUAGAUACCCCCGUAGUCCCUGAGCGGGCUGGCAAGGCGCAU
rnacentral:rRNA from 1 species